rnacentral:rRNA from 1 species
GACGAACGCUGGCGGCGUGCCUAACACAUGCAAGUCGAACGGAAGGGCCCUGCGUUUGUGGGGUGCUCGAGUGGCGAACGGGUGAGUAACACGUGAGUAACAUGCCCUUGACUGUGGGAUAACUUCAGGAAACAGGGGCUAAUACCGGAUAGGAGCUCCUGCUGCAUGGUGGGGGAUGGAAAGUUUCGGCGGUUGGGGAUGGACUCGCGGCUUAUCAGCUGGUUGGUGGGGUAGUGGCGUACCAAGGCUUUGACGGCUAGCCGGCCUGAGAGGGUGACCGGCCACAUUGGGACUGCGAUACGGACCAGACUCCUACGGGAGGCAGCAGUGGGGAAUCUUGCACAAUGGGCGGAAGCGUGAUGCAGCAACGCCGCGUGCGGGAUGACGGCCUUCGGGUUGUAAACCGCUUUCGCCUGUGACGAAGCGUGAGUGACGGUAAUGGGUAAAGAAGCACCGGCUAACUACGUG